UAAAAGAACACAUUUUUUUGAGUCUUACUUUCUCUUCAUCACUGAAGGGAGUUUUCUGUUAUUUCUUUGGUAGAUUGAUUUGGUUUAUUUUUGAAAACUCACUAGAAACAAAGUCAAAUUAAUUGUGAAAGACAUUGUUUUUGCUUGUUGUGGAGUUGCUGUUUCUCUGAACUCUGUGAGCAUGAAUGUUCACAGACUGAUGUUGAGGAGGCAUUCAAACAAAGUCUGGUGGAGGCAUAAACUAUGGGGGCAGGAUGGGAAGAAAGAGAAGAGUUGAAUUAAGAAAAUAUAUAGUAGAAAUCAAGACACUUUUUCUUGCAUUUUGUCAAAAAUACUUACUUCCCUACCUGCCCUCUG
rnacentral:lncRNA from 1 species